AGGGGGGAAAGAUUAAUAAAAUGGAAUAAAAUAUUAAAAAAAUUUUUAAAUAAAAAUAUUUAAUGGGGGUUAAAGUAUUUUUAAUAGAAAAAAUUUUUAUAUUUAUAGUUAAAUAGUAAUGUAAAAGAAUUUUGAAAUAAUUUGAAAAAAAAAAUUUUUAAAAAGUAAAUUUAAUUUAUUGUAUCUUGUGUAUCAGAGUUUAUUAAAAAUUUUUUAAAUUUUUAAAUUUCUCGAAUUUAAAAGAGUUAAUUAAUUAAUAAAGUUAUUGUGGCAUAAAUAUUUUUAAUAAUUAAUUAGAAAUGAAAUGUUAAUCGUUUUUAAAUAUAUCUAGUUUUUUUAGAAAAAAAUUUAAUUUUUAAUUUAAUUUAAAAAUAAAAUAAAUAUUUAUUUUAUUUUUAAAUUAAAUUAAAUAAUUUAAGGGAUAAGCUUUAAAUUAAAAUUUUAUAAUGAAUAUUAAAAUUAUUUAAAAAUUUUAUGAUUUAAAUUAUUAAUAAAUUUUAUUUUAUUAUAAAUAAUUUUAAAUUUAAAUAAAAUUUAAUUUAAUUUAUUUAAAUUUUUAUAAAAAAAUUUAUAUUAAUGGGGGAUAUAAAGAAAUUAUGAUAAAAUUAGUAAAAAUAAUUAUAAUAAUAAGUAAAAUUUUUAAGUUAUUUUUAAGGAAUUCGGCAAAAAUUUAUAUUCACUUGUUUAUCAAAAACAUGUCUUUUUGGAAAUAAUUUAAAGUCUAAUCUGCCCACUGAUGAAAUAUUGAAGGGCUGCAGUAUUUUGACUGUACAAAGGUAGCAUAAUCAUUAGUCUCUUAAUUAGGGACUUGUAUGAAGGAUUUGAUGAAAUAUAAUCUGUCUCAAAAAUAAUUAAUUGAAAUUAAUUUUUUAAUUAAAAAGUUAAAAUAAAUUAAAAAGACGAGAAGACCCUAUAGAGUUUAAUAUUAAGUAUAAAUUUAAGUUAUUUAUAAAAUUUAUUUAUUUAUAAAUUUUGUUUAAUAUUUUGUUGGGGUGAUAAAAAAAUAAAAUAAACUUUUUUUUAAUAAUAAACAUAAAUAAGUGAUUUUAUGAUCCAGUUUUAUUGAUUAAAAGAAAAAAUUACCUUAGGGAUAACAGCGUAAUUUUUUCUUUUAGCUCUUAUAAGAGAAAAAGUUUGCGACCUCGAUGUUGGAUUAAGAUAAAAUUUAAAUGCAAAAGUUUAAAAUUUUUGAUCUGUUCGAUCAUUAAAAUCUUACAUGAUCUGAGUUCAAACCGGUGUAAGCCAGGUUGGUUUCUAUCUUUUAAUUAUUUUAAUAUUUUAGUACGAAAGGAUUGAAUAUUAUAAUUAAAUUAAUUUUAAUGAAUAUUAUUAAUUAAUUUAUUAAAUUUAAUUAAAUUUAUAAAUAUAGG
rnacentral:rRNA from 1 species